GGCAGAGUGGCGCAGUGGGAGCGCGUUUGGGCUGUUGACUCAAAGGUCCUUGGAUCGAAACCACGCUCUGCUA
rfam:Nasonia vitripennis chromosome 1, whole genome shotgun sequence.